UCCUUAUAACAUUGAACAAUU
ensembl:piRNA 21ur-11635 ncRNA